rnacentral:tRNA from 1 species
GGUGGCUUAGUGGUAGAGCAUUUGCCUUGCAUGCAUGAAGCCCUGGGUUCAAUUCCGCAGCACCA